rnacentral:rRNA from 1 species
CCUACGGGUGGCAGCAGUGAGGAAUAUUGGUCAAUGGACGAGAGUCUGAACCAGCCAAGUAGCGUGAAGGAUGACUGCCCUAUGGGUUGUAAACUUCUUUUAUAUGGGAAUAAAACGUUCCACGUGUGGGAUUUUGUAUGUACCAUAUGAAUAAGGAUCGGCUAACUCCGUGCCAGCAGCCGCGGUAAUUCGGAGGAUCCGAGCGUUAUCCGGAUUUAUUGGGUUUAAAGGGAGCGUAGGUGGAUUGUUAAGGCAGUUGUGAAAGUUUGCGGCUCAACCGUAAAAUUGCAGUUGAAACUGGCAGUCUUGAGUACAGUAGAGGUGUGCGGAAUUCGUGGUGUAGCGGUGAAAUGCUUAGAUAUCACGAAGAACUCCGAUUGCGAAGGCAGUUCACUGGACUGCAACUGACACUGAGGCUCGAAAGUGUGGGUAUCAAACAGGAUUAGAGACCCCUGUAGUC